rnacentral:rRNA from 1 species
AUUGAACGCUGGCGGCAUGCCUUACACAUGCAAGUCGAACGGAUCAGAGGAGCUUGCUCUUCUGGUUAGUGGCGAACGGGUGAGUAAUGCAUCGGAACGUACCCAGUAGUGGGGGAUAACGUAGCGAAAGUUACGCUAAUACCGCAUACGACCUGAGGGUGAAAGCAGGGGAUCGCAAGACCUUGCGCUAUUGGAGCGGCCGAUGUCGGAUUAGCUAGUUGGUAGGGUAAAAGCCUACCAAGGCGACGAUCCGUAGCUGGUCUGAGAGGACGACCAGCCACACUGGUACUGAGACACGGCCCAGACUCCUACGGGAGGAAGCAGUGGGGAAUUUUGGACAAGGGGGGAAACCCUGAUCCAGCCAUGCCGCGUGAGUGAAGAAGGCCUUCGGGUUGUAAAGCUCUUUCAGACGGAAAGAAAUCUUUCGGGCUAAUACCUCGGGAGGAUGACGGUACCGUAAGAAGAAGCACCGGCUAGCUACGUGCCAGCAGCCGCCGUAA